CAGCAGCCACGGGAAUACGUAGGGGGCAAGCGUUAUCCGGAAUAUCUGGGCGUGAAGGGUGCGCAGGUGGUUUAACAAGUUAGUGGUGAAAGGCAUAGGCUCAACCAAUGUAAGCCAUUAAAACUGUUUAACUUGAGUGCAGGAGAGGAAAGUGGAAUUCCUAGUGUAGCGGUGAAAUGCGUAGAUAUUAGGAGGAAUACCAGUGGCGAAGGCGACUUUCUGGACUGCAACUGACACUGAGGCACGAAAGCGUGGGGAGCAAACAGGAUUAGAUACCCCUGUAGUCCCUGUCUCUUAUACA
rnacentral:rRNA from 1 species